CUGGGUCCAGGUAUACAGGGAAACUGUUCUGUAAUCACGUUACCCUGUAAAUCCGGGACCUAUAG
rnacentral:precursor_RNA from 1 species